GCGCCAAUAGCUCAGCUGGAUAGAGCAACGGCCUUCUAAGCCGUAGGUCGCAGGUUCGAAUCCUGCUUGGCGUACCA
rnacentral:tRNA from 6 species